AUUGCAAAAAAAUGUUAUUUUAACGAACGUGUUACUUUCACACGGUGAAUCAAAAGUAAAUUUGUAAAUAUUUUGGAAAAUAUAUAGCACAGUUGAGUAUUCAUCGCCUGUGCGUGUUCCGGAAUGUCGCAAACUUGAAAAAAAGGAGAGACAAAGAUUUUUCCUGUAAACGCUUCAAUGUUGAAUUACUUAAUAUCUCAUUUAGUUAUCUCUACAACGGUAUUGCAUGUUCUACUUAUAUCUAAAUUUGACGAAAUACCACAAUUAUCUGUAUAUAUCAAACUUCUUUCACAGUAUUGCAAAAUUGAGUUGAAUGUGGCAUGAUACUGUUUGUUAUUAUCAUCAGAUAACAUUACUGCGUCCUCAAGUGCUAGGGAAAGCCUUGGCUUGGCGCCUCUAAAAAACACAUAACUGUCAGCAUGAUUCUCAGCUACCUUAGAGUAAGAUAGCGUACAAUAGUGGGGGUGUAACUUCAUAAUGAUUGAUGAAUUAUUAUAAUGUUAUCGUACAUCAAACAAAUGCCCCGAUAUUCGUGGACGGAAGCUUGUGCACCUAUGCAGUGAUUGUGCGCAGGAAACUAUAUGAUUGUAAAAUUAUAUAAUUAUUGUUGUAUUCAUUUCAAGAUGAAUAUUAACAACAAAUUGCAAUAAAUCCACCAUGGGCAAACGAUCGCAAAGCAUUUAGGUACGAUCUAGCAUUUGGUACUCAGUCUAAAAAAAUUUCUUUUCAUUUUAACAAACGAAUUUUGGAUCUUAUGGGAACGAAUGAAAAUGAAUACUUCCGGGGGUAGUAAAGGUUCUUUGAUGAAAGCUGUAUAUGAGCAGCAAAUAUGCCGUACUGGCCUUCAACAUGUCUACCUAGGCAACGCAGGUCAAUAUAGUAAACCAUUUAUCUUGUGUCAGUGAGCAGUAACCUUUGACAACAUUACGAAACUGUACUCUCUCGCUUAUAGCAGUUGGAAAUAAUGUCUGAUGUAAAAGUUGGGAGUAUACGUAUAUUCUAUCUAUCAUAUUCGUUUUCACUUUACAGUUCAUCAUCAGGUUAUCACUUAACGGUUUGAAGAUUGCCGCACAUUAUGUUUAUUCAGAAUUCAACUAUUGUUAUGUGUUUCUAAAUUUUCUCAGUCUCACAUAUAAUACUUCGAUUGUUAACUAGUUACAAUACGAAAUUGCCUACAAUAAAUUAUAUAGUAUUUCGGAAAGAAUUGUAAAAUACAUCAUGUUAUUUUGUUUCGCAUUUCAAACCUGCAAAGUGGACGUGCAGCAAUGAACUUUUGCAUUCCAUGAAAAAAUUUCUUCUAAAAUAACUACCAAGAUAUUUUUUUCAAAGUUGAGAUAUUACAUGUAUUACAGAUGUGAUGUUUAAAAUUUGUAAAUUAGGCAAUUGUCUUAUCAUACUUUAUUUUGGUUUCGAUAUACUGAGCAAAGUAGAUUUCUUGCCAAUUACUUACAGUGCUGGUGACCCCUAUGAAAAGACCAUGCUACUAAUGAGACAAGGCUAAUGUCAAUGAUACAUGACAAUUUAUCGCGGACUAAGCGUGAGUGAGGAAAGAGCGUAGGUAUACCCGAAUUAUGAUGCUGAAAUUGUAUCGAGACUUUUAAUGUUGUGAAAAUUUUUGUUUGUGCAGUAACCGAGUAAUUAUAAAUGUCUGGUAGAUAACUACUCUACAAUGUCAGCAUGAAAUAUAAUUGAUGCGGCUAAACCAUUGUUAUUA